AAUAAGUGCAACAAUAUGGCGAUUGUCCUGCAUGCCACGUUCCGAUUGUAUUAGUUUUGGAUAUUGGAUAUUCUAUAUAUCAUUAAAAAUAAAUCUAAUAAAGAAGCUCAAGUACGGAUAUUAUAUCUAGAAGAAAAGGCUUAAAUAUCUAAUCUGGCAGUGAUUUUUCUGAUAUUGAAAAAUUAUAAACAUAAUUAUUGGCAAAAUUUUUAAACGAGAAAAAUGAAUGAUAGUGGAUUCAUAAUUGCUGAGUUUGAUGAUGGACUACAGUUAAUACCAACAAUAUGGUUCAAUGCGGAAAAACAAUCGUGUAUAUGGCCUGGCCAUUUUAAAACCAAAUUCCGCAUAAAUAAAGCAAUAAUAACAAAAAGAAAUACCACAGGAAGAAUUUGAUUGGGAUGAGUUACCAAUCAAGAGAAUCUUCGGCACAGCAGACACUUAUGAAAAAGGCAUGAAAAAAUUGGUCCUAGCACAGGAUACAUCUAAUAUAGAAAAUACUGAAAUCUCAUCUAACGAAUUAAAAGAAAUAAAGAAAAAAAGAAGGCGGAUUCAAGCAAAAAAAAAAAUGUCAUCCUCAGAAAUGUCAUCAUCAUCAGAAGAUUUUCUUUUGCAAGAGAAUAAAGAAAAUCGAAUGACGCAAAAUAAUAAAAUAUUGCCUGCUUUUCCACAAAUAGAACAUUUUGUGCCUAAUUAUAAAUCGCGAGAUAAAUGUAAAGAGAAUUUUGGUAAUGAAUUAUCCGAAAGAAAUUCUACUUAUAAUAGAAUAAAUAUAGUUCAUGAUGUCAACAAAAAAAUUGAUACAAAUAACCAAAGCAAUCUUAAACUAAAAAGAUGCUCUAUUCAAGAGAACACCAGCCAAGAAAAUACUUACUCUGAUGAUGAGGCCGCGAUGCAGGGACAAUAUACAGGGAGUGGAAUGAGAUUAAAUAUGCCGAGAUUCCGUAAUCGUUGCUUUAUUAGUAGACGGCACGAUGUGAGCGUGUCCACGGUACAAGACAAGACUGACGUGGUAGAGAAAACAUAUGUGACCAAAGGGACAUGUGUAACGAAAAGACAUGUGUGCGAAGGGCUUUACAUUUUGAGAUUGGUAGGUGGAAGUACUGCGCAUAUAAUGACACGCAAUAUAUUGAAAAAAAUUAUAACAAAUACUUUGGCUCAAGAUUUUAGCUGGGCAGGAAAAAAAACUAAACGUUGUUUCAAAGACUUAAGUCUCACAAAAAUAAUCAUACAAGCUGUCCGUACAAUGUAUGGUUCGGUUACAGACAAUGAGAUAGCGGAAUCUAUAUCAAAAUGGCUUACCCAAGCCAGUUUAAGAACUCAAAGAGAAAGACAACAGAAUACACAAACCGAGUUAAUGGAGUAAACAAUAAGACUGCUACAGAAAAUAAAAGUACAAAAUAAAAGAAAACUAAAAGUACAAAAUAAAAGAAAACUAAAAGUACAAAAUAAAAGAAAAAUAUAUUGUAAUAAUAUAUUAUAAAAACGUACAUGUUUACAUAUAUACAUAUAAGUAUUAUA